GUGACAGCCGCCGCGGUAAUACAGAGGUGGCGAGCGUUGUUCGGAUUCACUGGGCGUAAAGCGUGUGCAGGCGGUCUCGUAUGUCGGAUGUGAAAUCCCACGGCUCAACCGUGGAACUGCAUCCGAAACUGCGGGACUAGAGUACAGGAGGGGAGAGCGGAAUUCUUGGUGUAGCGGUGAAAUGCGUUGAUAUCAAGAAGAACACCGGUGGCGUAGGCGGCUCUCUGGAAUGUAACUGACGCUCAGACACGAAAGUUGGGGGAGCAAACAGGAUUAGAUACCCUCGUAGUCC
rnacentral:rRNA from 1 species